CCAUACAGUACCUGAUCAAGAGGUCAUGAAUUCCUUUGAAAAUCUAUUGAAAUUUCCCAGCCCCAUCCCAGAAAUACACAUGGGAGAUUUUAAAAAGCCACCUUGCAGAAAGCAGAAGUAAUACUUCCUCGAUUAUCUGGGGGAAUCAAUAUUGUAUGGUUCAGUUGCUCUCAGAUGUACCCCUUUGGCCCUACUCACUAAUGAAGAACUAGUCAAGUCUUCUCAACCCAUGCUCCAUGGAGCCUGCAGAAGCGUUUACCACUCCUGCCAGACCACGCCUAAACAAGUUUCUUCCCCACCGUGCAUAAUCCCCUCCAGUUCCAUCCAUGUUGUCAC